rnacentral:rRNA from 1 species
UACGAAGGGGGCUAGCGUUGUUCGGAAUUACUGGGCGUAAAGGGUUCGUAGGUGGCCAACUAAGUCAGACGUGAAAUCCCUCAGCUUAACUGGGGAACUGCGUCUGAUACUGGUUGGCUUGAGUGCAGGAGAGGAACGCGGAAUUCCAGGUGUAGCGGUGAAAUGCGUAGAUAUCUGGAGGAACACCGGUGGCGAAGGCGGCGUUCUGGACUGCAACUGACACUGAGGAACGAAAGCCAGGGGAGCAAACGGG